AUGCGGCCACUGAAUGUGGGCUGCCCUGGAGGGAGGCACCCUCAGCUGGGGAUUGUCAUUUGGGCUGGGCAGCAGGGACCAUGGAGUGCUCCCCAGCGGAAGGGGGCCCAGGCAGCUGCCCUGUGUCACCCCAACCCCCCUUUCCCACGGCUCUCCUUCCUUGGGAAGCAGCCGCUGGAAUCUUUGACUUCAGAAACUCUGCCAGGUGCUCGCUUUCCCCAUCUCUUAGGCAGAGUCCGUUCACUUGUGAAGUCUCUCGAAAUUUUAUCCCAACUAUGUUCAGCGGAAGAGGCUGCCGAAGCUGCAUCAGAAAUGAUAAGCAGUGUUUUGUUUCGCUGCCCCGAGUGGGACCCACGAGCACGCCUGGUCUUCAGACCUGGGUGCAGUCGCCUCUGCAUCUGACUCACCUCAGUACCCAGGAUGGGGGCACAGCACAGGUAGCGGAGCGGGCCGACCAGCUGCCUGGUUGACAGAGGUGACCUGCCGUGGUGGUGUGCUGUCUACUUACAGCUAGCGCAUAUCAGCACAGCGGGGACAGUGACGUUUUGCUCGGAAUAGAGUGAAGACAUUCGGGGGUAAGUUUCCUGGCAGAAGACAGGCUCGGAAGCAGGUCAUCUGAGUCGGGGUAGGGAGGCGGCCACUAGUCGGGCUCUUGAGGAUGCCAGGCAACCUCUGUCACCCAGGAUGAAAGGGGAUGGAAGUGCUGUGCCCACCCUUGGUGGAAAAGCUGCUCCUGCUCUUAAAAGCUGGAACAGGACGUCUGACACAGCCCAGGUCCCCACGGAGGCAGGGGCAUGGCUGGCAUCUGUAGACCACAGCCUCCGGGCACCGGCGGAGAGGAAGAAGAGAAAACCAGCACAGAAUAUUUUCUUUUUUGGACACAGAGUCUCGCUCUGUCCCCAGGCUGGAGUUCAAUGGCGUGAGCUCAGCUCACUGCAAUACUCACCUCCCAGGUUCAAGUGAUUCUUCUGCCUCAGCCUCUUGAGUAGCUAGUAUUAUAGGUGCCUGCCACCAUGCCCGGCUAAUUUUUCUAUUUUUAGUAGAGACUGGGUUUCACCAUGUCAGCCAAGCUAGUCUCGAACUCCUGACCUUGUGAUCUACCCGCCUCAGCCUCCCAAAGGGCAGGGAUUACAGGCAUGAGCCAUCACGCCCAACCUAGCACAGAAAUUUUUUUUGUGUGUUUGGGUACAGGAUGAUUUAUUGGGGGAACUUAAAUAAAGAAGUGUAGUAUUGGGUGGCUGCAAGACAGGUAUAUCUCUACACCACAACUAGACAGACCCAAUGUAUCUUACAUCUUGGGGAAAGUAUACAUGCUCUGGAAGCAAUGUAUAGGUGGAUGCAGUCAUCCACCGACACCUAUGAUAUCUGCAACAGCAUCAAGGAUUGUUUUGGAAGAAACUUAGAAUGAAUAGAUAUUUCUACUUAAAGAGUAAUACAUCAGCUAAGCAUUUGGGAGGCAUUCCUGGGCUGGGGGUUAAUCAGAAGUCACAUUGUGGACUAGCAUUUAAAAUAAAGUCACUCAUGCCCCCACACAUGGAUAGAUCAUGAAACAAUUACGCUGAGUGAAAGUAACCAAACCCAAAAAAGUACUUAUUCUGUGGUUCCUUUUUUUUUUUUUUUUGAGACGGAGUCUCGCUCUAUCGCCCAGGCUGGAGUGCAGUGCACUCC
rnacentral:lncRNA from 1 species